rnacentral:rRNA from 1 species
GACGAACGCUGGCGGCGUGCUUAACACAUGCAAGUCGAACGGAAAGGCCCCUUCGGGGGUACUCGAGUGGCGAACGGGUGAGUAACACGUGCGUAACCUGCCCUUGACUUCGGGAUAACUUCAGGAAACUGGGGCUAAUACCGGAUAGGAAUCCUUGCUGCAUGGUGGGGGUUGGAAAGCUUCGGCGGUUUUGGAUGGACUCGCGGCUUAUCAGCUUGUUGGUGGGGUAGUGGCUUACCAAGGAAUUGACGGGUAGCCGGCCUGGGAGGGCGACCGGCCACAUUGGGACUGGGAGACGGGCCAGACUCCUACGGGAGGCAGCAGGGGGGAAUAUUGCACAAAGGGCGGAAGCCUGAUGCAGCAACGGCGCGUGCGGGAUGACGGCCUUCGGGUUGUAAACCGCUUUCAGCAGGGGCGAAGCUUGUGGUGACGGUACCUGCAGAAGAAGCACCGGCUAACUACGUG